GUUCAAGGGGUCUAGUGGUUCCGAUCCCCACCUUUCAUUUUUCAUUGUGUCGUGGGCGACCGAGGUUCGAGUCCUCGCCUGUGCC